AUUGAACGCUGGCGGCAGGCUUAACACAUGCAAGUCGAGCGGAGAUGAGGUGCUUGCACCUUAUCUUAGCGGCGGACGGGUGAGUAAUGCUUAGGAAUCUGCCUAUUAGUGGGGGACAACAUUCCGAAAGGAAUGCUAAUACCGCAUACGUCCUACGGGAGAAAGCAGGGGAUCUUCGGACCUUGCGCUAAUAGAUGAGCCUAAGUCGGAUUAGCUAGUUGGUGGGGUAAAGGCCUACCAAGGCGACGAUCUGGAGCGGGUCUGAGAGGAUGAUCCGCCACCCUGGGACUGAGACACGGCCCAGACUCCUACGGGAGGCAGCAGUGGGGAAUAUUGGACAAUGGGGGAAACCCUGAUCCAGCCAUGCCGCGUGUGUGAAGAAGGCCUUAUGGUUGUAAAGCACUUUAAGCGAGGAGGAGGCUACUGAGACUAAUACUCUUGGAUAGUGGACGUUACUCGCAGAAUAAGCACCGGCUAACUCUGUGCCAGCCGCCGCAGUAAGAC
rnacentral:rRNA from 1 species